ACUUUUAGGGAGUUGUGAAUCUCUGUUGGUGGUAAUCCUACACGUUAGGGAUGCUUUCAUUACCCAUAUCCAUGUUCUAUGACAUGUCCUGGUCUCUUUUAAGUCUCAUUUGAUGUUCAAAAUCGAAGUGAUGUUUAAAUGUAUCUCACUUAUGUUUUAGAUUUCUAAUUUCAAAUUGUCAGUUUGUGAUUAAAUGAAAUAAUCCACUGGAUAUUAUAUCAUGUCAAUGCUUUUUCAUAGUUAGUGUUUAAUAUUUAAGUCUGUUUUAUAAGCCUCGAGUUAUUAUCGCCGUUGUAGAAUAAUCCUUGUCUUUUACACUCUUACUUGGUGAUCUCUAUUUUGCAGGAAUAAACGUCCAGAAUUUACUGCCUGGUUAGCAGAAGUGAAACAGGUGAACCUGGAAAGUGUAUCUAAUUGGGAAGAGAAGCAAAUGUUCAAAGUGCAAGUACAUAAAACUGUUCAACUACUUGCAGUUUUCCCAUCAGACGCAUUUCAUGGAAUACAGUAUCUAUGGAGGACCAUAACACAGCAACCUUUCCAUCUAAAAAGUAUUAUGACCUUGAUGCUCAUCACAAGCAUAAAAUGGAGAAAGAAAUGAAAAAAAUGUUUCAAGAAGGUCCUGGAAAAAGAGCGUACUGUUUUCAAUGAUGACGUACUGUUUUCAAUGAUGAAGAACAUCGUUGGUAUAUUAUAGAGAAUCACAAUUCCUAUAUCAUGUCAUAUUAAGAAUUUGAAAAGUGAUUGGGCACAAUGAUUUCGUAGGGACCUGUUCAAGGGUGGAUCUAUUUAAAAUAAUAUUAUAUUUAAUAAAUGUAGACUUAUUGUUUUGACAA